UGAGCAAUCUGCCCUUCUCAUCGGAAUAAGCGUUGGAAACGACGUCUAAUGCCGAAUACGACCUCCUUUCGCAUGAUCGGAGGUGGAAAGCUCCGGCGGAGAAGGAUGAGCUCGCGGCCUAUCAGCUAGUUGGUGUGGGUAAUGGCCCACCAAGGCGACGACGGGUANCUGGUCUGAGAGGAUGGCCAGCCACAGUUGGGACUGAGACACGGCCCAGACUCCGUAACGGGG
rnacentral:rRNA from 1 species